rnacentral:lncRNA from 1 species
CACUAAAAAAAAACCCUACGACCUUACAACCGCCGCACAAAGAUGCUCGGAGUUCACGACCUCAAAGCUUCACUUCGAUCCGCACAGUGGCUCAUCAAUCCGUUGUUGUUGGCUCCAAGUUUUCUCCUCCCUGUUGUUCGCGGCAUACACUAGUCGGUUCCGAUAACUUUGGUGUUCUUGUACCUUAAAAACUAGAUACGUAUUCGACGAAACGAGUGACCACGAAACCUGGUUGGUGUACGGCUCGUACGUUUGGUUUGGGAUCUGUUUGGCAGUGGCCCCAAAUACUCGAGUCUGAGGUUUACAUCCUUCGUAUGAACUCGGUAUGUGACCGUGUUGGUGCUAUCGGCUAAGCACGCCUUGCAUGCUUCUGUUCGGUUUUGUCCUACCCUUCACCAUUAAACAUGAAAUUUGGUGUCGGCCUGGUGGGUUUCUCUUUGGCUUUGAUAAUCAAGUGCUGAGGCGCCACUCGGUCACCGUUCUCCCGAUUUUGUAAUCAUUCCACAAGCAUAGCAGGUUGUUGAUUAUUUUGGAUUAUUUUGCUCAUUGCUUCUCUAGCCUCUUUUGGUCUUACGAGCGUUAUGAUAAGAAGUAGUCCUCGCAGCUUAACAGUCCUUGGGGCAGAGGAAGUCCCCUAAC